rfam:Candidatus Riflebacteria bacterium GWC2_50_8 gwc2_scaffold_9203, whole genome shotgun sequence.
CGCUACAGGUGGCAACAUCCGUGGUGAUCAGAGAGGAGUCAGCAGAGGCCAUAGUAGCUUAUCAAAAGCGAAGGGC